AAAAAAUUAGUCUAACAUGCAGUUGUCUAUUGGCUCAAUUUAAACUCCGUACAGGCAGGACGUUUUCCUUGACAGAUUUUCUUUUGAUGUACGCUACAAAUUUCCAUGUUUUCCCUUGUGAAGGAGUCUCGUUCAAAAGCUCGUCGUAUCAGCAUUUUCCACACAAGGAAAACUGUUCGUGUUUACGGGCGGCGAGGGAAAACUUGACACUAUUCAUUAAAUCUCGUUUAUUUUGAAAUUUGCUUUUGUAAUGUGGCG